UGGGGAAUUUUGGACAAUGGGGGAAACCCUGAUCCAGCCAUCCCGCGUGUGCGAUGAAGGCCUUCGGGUUGUAAAGCACUUUUGGCAGGAAAGAAACGUCAUGGGUUAAUACCCCGUGAAACUGACGGUACCUGCAGAAUAAGCACCGGCUAACUACGUGCCAGCAGCCGCGGUAACACGUAGGGUGCAAGCGUUAAUCGGAAUUACUGGGCGUAAAGCGUGCGCAGGCGGUUCGGAAAGAAAGAUGUGAAAUCCCAGAGCUCAUCUUUGGAACUGCAUUUUUGACUGCCGGGCUAGAGUGUGUCAGAGGGAGGUGGAAUUCCGCGUGUAGCAGUGCAAUGCGUAGAUAUGCGGAGGAACACCGAUGGCGAAGGCAGCCUCCUGGGAUAACACUGACGCUCAUGCACGAAAGCGUGGGGAGCAAACAGG
rnacentral:rRNA from 1 species